rnacentral:rRNA from 1 species
UGCGUAGGCGGUUGGCAAAGUCAGCUGUGAAAGCCCCGGGCUUAACCUGGGAAUGGCGGUUGAAACUAGUCGACUAGAAUCUGGCAGAGGGGGGUGGAAUUCCACGUGUAGCAGUGAAAUGCGUAGAGAUGUGGAGGAACACCGAUGGCGAAGGCAGCCCCCUGGGCUGAGAUUGACGCUCAGGCACGAAAGCGUGGGGAGCAAACAGGAUUAGAUACCCUGGUAGUCCACGCCCUAAACGAUGUCAACUAGGUGUUGGGAGCGCAAGUUCUCAGUACCGCAGCUAACGCGUGAAGUUGACCGCCUGGGGAGUACGGUCGCAAGAUUAAA